rnacentral:rRNA from 1 species
UCUUGAAUAUCAAAGGUGAGCCAGUACAGGAUGGACCCGCGUCUGCUUAGCUAGUUGGUAAGGUAACGGCUUACCAAGGCGACGAUCAGUAGCCGACCUGAGAGGGUGAUCGGCCACAUUGGAACUGGGACACGGUCCAAACUCCUACGGGAGGAAGCAGUGGGGAAUAUUGCACAAUGGGCGAAAGCCUGAUGCAGCAACGCCGCGUGAGUGAUGAAGGCCUUCGGGUCGUAAAACUCUGUCCUCAAGGAAGAU